CCCUUAGAUGUUCUGGGCCGCACGCGCGCUACACUGAUUCAUGCAACAAGUUUUGUCCUUGGCUGAUAGGCCUGGGUAAUCUUUGAACGUGAAUCGUGAUGGGGAUAGAUGAUUGCAAUUAUUCAUCUUCAACGAGGAAUUCCUAGUAAACGCAAGUCAUCAGCUUGCAUUGAUUACGUCCCUGCCCUUUGUACACACCGCCCGUCGCACCUACCGAUUGAAUGGUCCGGUGAAGCCUCGGGAUUGCGAAUGCUUCGUGCGGACGCGAGAACUUGGCUAAACCUUACCAUUUAGAGGAAGGUGAAGUCGUAACA
rnacentral:rRNA from 1 species